GAUGAACGCUGGCGGCGUGCUUAACACAUGCAAGUCGAACGGGGUGCCUUUGAUUGAGACUUCGGUUGAUUGAUUAGGUUACCUAGUGGCGGACUGGUGCGUAACACGUGAGUAACCUGCCUCGGAGUGUGGAAUAACACAGCGAAAGUUGUGCUAAUACCGCAUAAUGUAGUUGUACCGCAUGGUGCUGACUACCAAAGAUUUAUUGCUCUGAGAUGGACUCGCGGCCGAUUAGCUAGUUGGUGAGGUAACGGCUCACCAAGGCGACGAUCAGUAGCCGGUCUGAGAGGAUGAACGGCCACAUUGGGACUGAGAUACGGCCCAGACUCCUACGGGAGGCAGCAGUGGGGAAUAUUGGGCAAUGGGGGAAACCCUGACCCAGCAACGCCGCGUGAAGGAAGAAGGCCUUCGGGUUGUAAACUUCUUUUACCAGGGACGAAGAACGUGACGGUACCUGGAGAAAAAGCAACGGCUAACUACGUG
rnacentral:rRNA from 1 species